UACGUAGGGGGCAAGCGUUGUCCGGAAUCAUUGGGCGUAAAGCGCGCGUAGGCGGCCCGGUAAGUCCGUUGUGAAAGUCAAAGGCUCAACCUUUGAACGCCGAUGGAUACUGCCGGGCUAGAGUCCGGAAGAGGCGAGUGGAAUUCCUGGUGCAGCGGUGGAAUGCGCAGAUAUCAGGAGGAACACCAAUAGCGAAGGCAGCUCGCUGGGACGGUACUGACGCUGAGGCGCGAAAGCGUGGGGAGCGAACAGG
rnacentral:rRNA from 1 species